rnacentral:SRP_RNA from 1 species
GCCACAAAAGGUUGGGCACACCUGUAGUCUCAGCUACUUGGGAGGCUGAGGCAGGAGGAUCACGUGAGUCCAGAAGUUCUGGGCUGUAGGGCGCUAUGCUGAUCAGGUGUCCGCACUAAGUUCAGCAUCAGUGUGGUGACCUCCCAGGAGCAGGGGACCACAAGGUUGCCUAAGGAGGGGUGAACCAGCCCAGGUCAGAAACGGAGCAGGUCAAAAUUCCCAGGCUGGUCAGUAGUGGGAUCGCACUGCACCCCAGCCUGGGCAACAUAGCAAGACCCCGUCUCU